UACGGGGGGAGCAAGCGUUGUUCGGAUUUACUGGGCGUAAAGCGUGCGCAGGCGGUUUUGUAAGACAGAGGUGAAAUCCCCGGGCUCAACCUGGGAACUGCCUUUGUGACUGCAAGGCUUGAGUGCGGCAGAGGGGGAUGGAAUUCCGCGUGUAGCAGUGAAAUGCGUAGAGAUGUGGAGGAACACCGAUGGCGAAGGCAGCCCCCUGGGCUGAGAUUGACGCUCAGGCACGAAAGCGUGGGGAGCAAACAGG
rnacentral:rRNA from 1 species